UUACAUCUUGCCAUUGCUACCUCUAAAAGCACGUCAUCCCCGGAGCUAUCCAGUGGUGUCAGAACGCGGAUAUCUCUGGCAUGUGCACUAGUGAUUCUGUGUAUUUUUAAAUUGAUACAACGCGUUACAUAACCUAAAAAUACAGCGGAGUAACUACUGCGCAUUCCAGAGAUAUCCGCGUUCGGACACCACUGGAGCUAUCAUAAGAUUAACUUUCAGGUUAUGAAAAACCUUCUAGAAAAUACACUAAUAGAUUUAAUAAACAUUUAUAACCUGAUCUCUGUUUGGAUUCAUCUUUCCAGCUCACCGGAACAAGUUCUUAGUUUUUCUAAUGGGAAAACCCAUUUCGGAAAAAUUCCGUCUGCUUCCCUUGGCAUCCUGCUUUCUGAAACUUAUGGAAUGGCUAGUGGUUAACAGACUGAACUGGUGGCUUGAGAACUCUUAGGUCUUCCCUCCUUCUUAGUUUGGAUAUCGUUGAAGCAGCUUACGCUAGAGUCAUUCCUGACAUCCUAAUCAAUGACAUGGCCAAUUUGCGUUUCUCAUGGAAAUAUUGCAAAUUCUUUAAAAAUCUCACCUUAGAUAGAGUAGUGUUCUUCAGAGUCAACUAUAAAAACAAAAGACCUUAUAAAUACAGUAGAGACCUCUCUCAGGGCUGUAUAUCAAGCACUGUUAUUUAUAAAAUUUAUAUGUUACACUUGCAUAAUCAUCUCCACCCACUUUGCAAAAUGUUGCAAUAUGCAGAUGAUAUUGGUAUUGACUUCACCUCAGGUGAUCUAGGAGAAUGCAUCUGCAUCUUGCAAGAAAGUUUUUAUAUUUUCCGAAAUUUCCACAAAUCCAGUGGCUUAAACAUCUCUAUCAACAAAUCCAAACAGUGGGUUGAGUCGCCUUAUUAAGGGAUAGGUAUACAAAUUAUUCACGAAGUUAGAAAAGGAAUAAAACGUAAAAAACAGAUCGCAAGUGAAUUCGAUAUCUCUGCGAGUACUCUAUCGGCGAUAUUGAAGGAUCAGGACAAAAUCUUGAGGACGGUAGAAGAAGCACCAAGCACCUUCUUUGCCACUACGUAAAAGGUUUAAAGAAUCAAGUUUCCUUGAACUUGAGCGAGUUAUGAUGGAUUGGAUGAAGCGAAUGAGAGAAUAUAAUAUACCAGUUUUAGGACCAUUAAUUCAAGAAAAGGCUGCGGAAUUCGCAAAGGAUCUUGGCCUGAAAUUGCAAGCUAGCACUGGUUGGCUGACAAACUCAAAUAUAGGAACGGCAUUGUAGAGAAAAUAAUAUCAGGUGAAAGUGCAGCUGUUCCUGAACUUAGUUGUCAAGACUACAAAACGAAUUUACUGCCGUGUCUACUAGAAGAAUAUGACCCGGAAGUUACUUGCAACGCGGACCAGUUACAUAUUACCAGUUACAUAUACGAAUAAUCAAAAGCCAUGGGCGACGUCAGCGUUCUAUGAAUCUUGGAUUUUUUACUUGGAUAAAAAAUUUCCAAUCAAAAGAGGAAAGUGCUAAUCUUUGUCGACAAUUAUCCUGCGCAUCCUGAGAUUCUUUCACAUGAACUGAAAGCAAUCCAGGUGAAUUUUUUGCCGCCAAAUAUGAAAUCCGAACUGUAACCAAUAGACCAGGGAAUCAUCAUUGAAAUGCUGCAUAAGGCAAGUUUUACAAAUGAAAUUGGAGAACAAGUGGUGUGGAUAUCAACAACUUUUUCCUGCAAUGAGUGCAAUUGAAUUCCAAGACUUCGUCAUCGUGGACUCUGAUGUUAUUACUAUAUCGUAUCCGACUGAUAUUGAAAUCCUCAAUGCCACAACGUUUUAAGAAGAGUCUAACGAGUUAAGUGAAGAAUAGGCAGAUAGUGAUGACGAUGUGGAAUGAUCACAAACUACUCUUUCGCAGGCCACGGAUGGUCUAGAAAUAUUACGGAAAUAUAUUCGAGAACAAUAUGGAAUUACAGAUGAGAUUUUUUCUGCACUUAACGUGAUUGAAAGUUAUAUGGAUAACAUUUCAAUCAAAAACAAAAACCAAAAAAAAUGACCGAUUUUUUCAAGAAAUAGUCUGCAUAUUAAGUCUAAAUUGGUUAUAAUUCAUGCAAUAGCAUCUUUUGAUCCUGAUUACUGCAUUUUUUUAUAUUCAACCCUUUUCAGGACCAACAAAUUUUUCUUACGAGGAAUAAUCUUAAUAUCAAAUUUUCACUCGUUUAUUAGUUAGAAAUCUUGAUAUUUAUAGUCUUUUGUCUGCAUUGUACUCUUUUCUAAUUUUUCACUUAGUGUAAUUAGUGUAUGUUCCAGACGUACAUAUUUUCGUCAAGAUAUACGUAAGUCUUCGAUAACUCGAAGUUUUUUUGCGUCACUUUGGUGGUUCGAGUUAUUGAAGUUCGACUGUAUUUGGAACACAUUACAAUAAGUUAAUUAUUUUAUUUAAAGUUCGAUCAUUUGUGAUUACGUACCCCUUACACCUCUACCCAAAUUUUGUCUCUUUAAUUUUGGUU